rnacentral:lncRNA from 1 species
AUGGGCCGGUUGGGAGGAACGAAAGGACCGACUCCGAUACUGGGGUUGCUCCUGCUGGCCUCCAGCGCUUGCUCAGCUUUGCCCAUCAACACCCCUCCCGUUGGAGAAAAUCGCUUCCAGCAACUGAUCCAGACGGUUGCUGUGACAUUUAAUCUGACUAACUGCUGGGUCUGUGGAGGGCCCCAGGGCUUAACCCAAUGGCCCUGGGUGUCCGUUCCCCUCAGUCCCGCAUGGAUUCUGAGUAAUCGGUCACAAGCCCAUAAUGGGAUGGGGUUUUGGAAAACAGAGGAGGAACACCAGUGGGCCUUAGCGGCAGUACCCAAGGGUAAAUAUUGCCUAAAUCAGACCGGAACUGGAGAAGGGAUAGGUGUUAGUCGCUGCAGCUACACCUACACGAAGAACGUCAUCCCUAAGACUAUCUACUGCUCACAGUAUGAGGGCCAGUGGAAUCAGACUCAUGUCAGAUGCUCUAAUGGGAUCUGGGUGUCAUGCCUCAAUCACCCUCCUAAUGCCCCAGAUUGGUCGGCUAAUAUCUCCUCAUGCCACUAUAAAUUGGGAGGAGGGGGCACAAUUGCCGGCAUGUGCAAAGAGAACUUGGACUUGGCCAGAUGUAAGGCAGCAAACCAAACUGGCAAUUGGACCAGGAUUCAUCAUGAAUGGAGAUGGCAAAACAACACAUGGAGAGGAGGGCUAACCCAGUUUUGGAGCCUUCAGAAUGAAACCGGGGCAGGUUGUGUAGAACGAUGUACGUGGAAGGACAAGCAAAAACUUUGGAGGUGUCAGUACGACCGUAAUUGCGGGGCGGGACCCCUGGGACUAGUGGAUCAACAAUACUAUCCCAACAUACGAGACAGUGAAAACCGAACUCGUAUAUUUAAGGAGAAACAGCCUGCCCUAAAGGGACAUUAUUGGAUUUGUGGAAACACAGCAUACACCCAUCUUUCCCUAAAUUGGACCGGGGUUUGUUAUAUAGGACUGAUUCAACCCAAAUUCUUCCUCCUACCAGAACAAGCUGGAAAGCAUUUGCCCAUUCCAUUAUAUGAAGAAAUGGGAGACUAG